UACCAGCUCUCCGAGUGGUAGGGAUGAUUAUUGGGCUUAAAGCGUCCGUAGCCGGCUUAGCAAGUCUCCUGUUAAAUUCAGCGACCUAAUCGUUGAGCCGCGGGAGAUACUACUAGGCUAGGAGGCGGGAGAGGUCGACGGUACUUCUGGGGUAGGGGUGAAAUCCUAUAAUCCCGGGAGGACCACCAGUGGCGAAGGCUGUCGACUAGAACGCGCUCGACGGUGAGGGACGAAAGCUGGGGGAGCGAACCGGAUUAGAUACCCGGGUAGUCCCAGCUGUAAACGAUGCGGGCUAGGUGUUGGGGUGGCUACGUGCCACUUCAGUGCCGCAGGGAAGCCAUUAAGCCCGCCGCCUGGGGAGUACGGCCGCAAGGCUGAAACUUGAAGGAAUUGGGCGGGGAGCACCACAAGGCGUGAAGCUUGCGGUUC
rnacentral:rRNA from 1 species